UAAAGCUACUCUCAGUUCGGAUUGUAGGCUGAAACUCGCCUACAUGAAGCUGGAGUUACUAGUAAUCGCAGAUCAGAAUGCUGCGGUGAAUGCGUUCCCGGGUCUUGUACACACCGCCCGUCACACCACGGGAGUUGGAGACGCCCGAAGCCGAUUAUCUAACCUUUUGGAAGAAGUCGUCGAAGGUGGAAUCAAUAACUGGGGUGAAGUCGUAACAAGGUAGCCGUAUCGGAAGGUGCGGCUGGAUCACCUCCUUUCUAAGGAGA
rnacentral:rRNA from 1 species